AAAUAUCUUUUUUUGACAUAAACAUUAUUGUUUGGUUUAACCCAGUUCACAACUGAAGCAUACAUGUGUGUGCGUUGUUGACUUGUCGUGUGCGUAUCUAAUGUUUCAAUUUAUUUCACAUUGUUUACCUUACGUCCAUUUUCAUGUCUGGCAUGGUGUUAUGAGUUCGCAUUGGUUUAAAAUUUACUCUAAAAACAAUAAACAAAGUUUUCUCCAAUCUCGUCAUGUGUAUCGGAUAUCGGUAGAGGCACAUAAAAUUGAACUCGGUCAUCGGUAGAUAUAAUCUAUCCGAAUUCAAGAGCAAAAAUAUAUUUAAAAAAAAAAAAAGAAAGAAAUUCAUGAUAAAUUCACAACAAAUCUCAAAAGGGAGUAAAUGAUUCAUCUAGAUAAUUAUCAAAUAUACAGUGGGUACCGUCCGUAUAAAACUUAUAAAAUAUACCUUCCGGAAUUUUCCAGCCUCCAUGUAUGUACUACAUGUACAUUACCAGUGACGUCACUGGAAAGAGAAGUCUGACGUCUGCAAGUUCUAGGGCCUAGCUAAAGUGUAUUACAUAAUGGAGACUUGGGUUACCAAAAACAGAAAAUAUUGACCAUGUUGAGGCAGUACGUGAGCUGUCUUGGUCAGCACCCAGGUGUAUCCAUCAACACGGGCACGUUAUAUCAAAAUGAAGAUAUGCAUUCCAGGAUGGUGACUGAAGCUCAUCUUUGUAAACACCUAAAUGCCUAGAAUGGACUCCAAAACAGAUUCUUAAAGUUUAACCAAUAUAAUCUUGAAUAUGG